CAGCAGCCGCGGUAAAACGUAGGGAGCAAGCGUUGUUCGGAUUUACUGGGCGUAAAGGGCGCGUAGGCGGCGCGGUAAGUCACUUGUGAAAUCUCUGAGCUUAACUCAGAACGGCCAAGUGAUACUGCUGUGCUAGAGUGCGGAAGAGGCAACCGGAAUUCUUGGUGUAGCGGUGAAAUGCGUAGAUAUCAAGAGGAACACCUGAGGCGAAGGCGGGUUGCUGGGCCGACACUGACGCUGAUGCGCGAAAGCCAGGGGGGCAAACGGGAUUAGAUACCCGGGUAGUCCCUGUCUCUUAUAC
rnacentral:rRNA from 1 species